GGGGGCUAGCGUUGCUCGGAUUGACUGGGCGUAAAGGGCGCGUAGGCGGUUCGUACAGUCAGACGUGAAAUUCCUGGGCUCAACCUGGGGGCUGCGUUUGAUACGUGCGGACUUGAGUGCGGAAGAGGGUCGUGGAAUUCCCAGUGUAGAGGUGAAAUUCGUAGAUAUUGGGAAGAACUCCGGUGGCGAAGGCGGCGACCUGGUCCGAUACUGACGCUGAGGCGCGAAAGCGUGGGGAGCAAACAGG
rnacentral:rRNA from 1 species